UGACGACAACAGCUAGAAUGG
rnacentral:miRNA from 2 species